rnacentral:rRNA from 1 species
UACGUAGGGUGCAAGCGUUGUCCGGAAUUAUUGGGCGUAAAGAGCUCGUAGGCGGUUUGUCGCGUCGGCUGUGAAAACUCGGGGCUCAACCCCGAGCCUGCAGUCGAUACGGGCAGACUAGAGUGCUGUAGGGGAGACUGGAAUUCCUGGUGUAGCGGUGAAAUGCGCAGAUAUCAGGAGGAACACCGGUGGCGAAGGCGGGUUCUG